rnacentral:rRNA from 1 species
CGUGUAGGCGGCUCUGCAAGUCAGAUGUGAAAUUCCCGGGCUUAACCCGGGCGCUGCAUCUGAAACUGCAGAACUUGAGUACUGGAGAGGAUAGUGGAAUUCCUAGUGUAGCGGUAAAAUGCGUAGAUAUUAGGAGGAACACCAGUGGCGAAGGCGACUAUCUGGACAGUAACUGACGCUGAGGCGCGAAAGCGUGGGGAGCAAACA